rnacentral:rRNA from 1 species
UACAGAGGUCCCAAGCGUUGUUCGGAAUUAUUGGGCGUAAAGGGCGCGUAGGCGGUGCGGUAAGUCACCUGUGAAAUCUCCUGGCUCAACUGGGAGCUUGCAGGCGAAACUGCCGUGCUGGAGUGUGGGAGAGGUGAGUGGAAUUCCCGGUGUAGCGGUGAAAUGCGUAGAGAUCGGGAGGAACACCAGUGGCGAAGGCGGCCUUCUGGACCAAUACUGACGCUCAUGCACGAAAGCGUGGGGAGCAAACAGG